UUUUUCCAAUCCCAGAUUUCUCCUACAGCUUCAUUCGCUUCGAAAUCAUGUUCUCUGCAUUUGAAUCCACAUUUUCCUUACUCAGUUUCUGUUUUUCCCCAAAUUUCUUUAGAUUUUGGUUUUGAUCGUUUUGCGUGCAACCAGGUUUCCGUUGUUUGAUUUUUUUUUUUUUUCCGUGUUUUCGUUUAGUGUCGAUUUACUGAAGAUUCUGUUGUUUGGUGAUGGAUUUUCUUUCAAUGUGUGGUGAGAAAGAUGAUAAGUUUAGGUUCAGGUUUGAUGGUGCUGAGAAUGGAGUUUCAGAUCAGCGAGGAAUUAUUUUGUCCUGAUUCUCAGCACCGUUUGAUGGUGCUGAGAAUGGAGUUUCAGAUCAAUGGCUGUUGUUACCAUGCCACGCGUGUGGUGGCUGCCUGCGUGGAACUGGAGGAUCGGUGAACUUUUUUCUUGUUCAUCUAGAAAGAGGGUAAAGGGCUGACCCAGGCAUCAGCUCACAACAGGAGUUAGGAAUCUUAUUCUCCUGAUACUCAGCAGAUGUUCUUUUUGCUGGGGUGCAGUAUUCUGUAGAUCCAGGGACGGAGAAACUCAAAUGAGCCUUUUUUCAUGCCUAUUGUAAUUGAUUGAUUCUAUAUCUGUGUCUGGGUGUAUGAGCCUCUUUUGUAUUUUGGAACUUGUUUCCUCUUAUUUAAUUUAUUACAUUUUGGCACCUCUUCAAAAAAAAAAAAAAAAGGUUCAUGCAUAUGGAUAUGGUGAUAGGUUAU